rnacentral:rRNA from 1 species
CCUACGGGUGGCAGCAGUGGGGAAUAUUGCACAAUGGGCGCAAGCCUGAUGCAGCGACGCCGCGUGAGGGAUGACGGCCUUCGGGUUGUAAACCUCUUUCAGUAGGGAAGAAGCGAAAGUGACGGUACCUGCAGAAGAAGCGCCGGCUAACUACGUGCCAGCAGCCGCGGUAAUACGUAGGGCGCGAGCGUUAUCCGGAAUUAUUGGGCGUAAAGAGCUCGUAGGCGGUUUGUCGCGUCUGCCGUGAAAGUCCGGGGCUUAACCCCGGAUCUGCGGUGGGUACGGGCAGACUAGAGUGCAGUAGGGGAGACUGGAAUUCCUGGUGUAGCGGUGAAAUGCGCAGAUAUCAGGAGGAACACCGAUGGCGAAGGCAGGUCUCUGGGCUGUAACUGACGCUGAGGAGCGAAAGCAUGGGGAGCGAACAGGAUUAGAUACCCGAGUAGUC